rnacentral:rRNA from 1 species
UACGAAGGGGGCUAGCGUUGCUCGGAUUGACUGGGCGUAAAGGGCGCGUAGGCGGUUCGUACAGUCAGACGUGAAAUUCCUGGGCUCAACCUGGGGGCUGCGUUUGAUACGUGCGGACUUGAGUGCGGAAGAGGGUCGUGGAAUUCCCAGUGUAGAGGUGAAAUUCGUAGAUAUUGGGAAGAACACCGGUGGCGAAGGCGGCGACCUGGUCCGAUGACUGACGCUGAGGCGCGAAAGCGUGGG